rnacentral:rRNA from 1 species
UACAGAGGGUGCGAGCGUUAAUCGGAAUUACUGGGCGUAAAGCGUGCGUAGGCGGCUAUCUAAGUCGGGUGUGAAAGCCCCGGGCUCAACCUGGGAAUUGCAUUCGAGACUGAAUAGCUAGGGUACGGUAGAGGGAAGCGGAAUUUCCGGUGUAGCGGUGAAAUGCGUAGAUAUCGGAAGGAACAUCAGUGGCGAAAGCGGCUUCCUGGACCAGUACCGACGUUCAGGCACGGAAGCGUGGGGAGCAAACAGG